GACAGAGGUGCCGAGCGUUAGGCGGAAUCACUGGGCUUAAAGCGUGUGUAGGCGGGCCGUUAAGUGUCUUGUGAAAUCCCCCGGCUCAACCGGGGAAUUGCUGGGCAUACUGGCGGUCUUGAGCAAUCUAGGGGCAGAUGGAACAAGUGGUGGAGCGGUGAAAUGCGUAGAUACUGGGAGGAACACCAGUGGCGAAGGCGGCUACCUGGACCGGUUCUGACGCUGAGGCGCGAAAGCGUGGGUAGCAAACAGG
rnacentral:rRNA from 1 species